rnacentral:rRNA from 1 species
UGGGGAAUAUUGCACAAUGGGCGCAAGCCUGAUGCAGCCAUGCCGCGUGUGUGAAGAAGGCCAUCGGGUUGUAAAGCACUUUUAGCGGGGAGGAAGGCGGUGAGGUUAAUAACCUCAUCGAUUGACGUUACCCGCAGAAGAAGCACCGGCUAACUCCGUGCCAGCAGCCGCGGUAAUACGGUGGGUGCACGCGUUAAUCGGAAUUACUGGGCGUAAAGCGUACGCAGGCGGUCUGUCAAGUCGGAUGUGAAAUCCCCGGGCUCAACCUGGGAACUGCAUUCGAAAGUGGCAGGAUAGAGUCUUGUAGAGGGGGGUAGAAUUCCAGGGGUAGCGGUGAAAUGCGUAGAGAUCUGGAGGAAUACCGGUGGCGAAGGCGGCCCCCUGGACAAAGACUGACGCUCAGGUGCGAAAGCGUGGGGAGCAAACAGG